rnacentral:snRNA from 1 species
AAACUUACCUGACGCGAGAGGCACCUUGAUCAACUAGGAGGUCCUCUCAGGAUGAGGCCCUUUCAUUGCACUUCGACUGGGUUGACUCCUGCGAUUACCCCUAAUGUGGGUAACUCGAGCGUAUAAUUUCUGGUAGUGGGGACCUGCGUUCGCGCUCGUCCCCC